rnacentral:rRNA from 1 species
CCUACGGGAGGCAGCAGUGGGGAAUUUUCCGCAAUGGGCGAAAGCCUGACGGAGCAAUACCGCGUGAGGGAUGAAAGCCUGUGGGUUGUAAACCUCUUUUCUCAAGGAAGAAGUUCUGACGGUACUUGAGGAAUAAGCAUCGGCUAACUCUGUGCCAGCAGCCGCGGUAAUACAGAGGAUGCAAGCGUUAUCCGGAAUCACUGGGCAUAAAGCGUCUGUAGGUUGCCUACCAAGUCUGCUGUUAAAGAUCGGGGCCUAACCCUGAGAAAGCAGUGGAAACUAGUAGGCUUGAGUGUGGUAGAGGUAGAGGGAAUUCCUGGUGUAGCGGUGAAAUGCGUAGAUAUUAGGAAGAACACCAACGGCGAAAGCACUCUACUGGGCCAUAACUGACACUGAGAGACGACAGCUAGGGGAGCAAAUGGGAUUAGAUACCCCAGUAGUCCUAGCCGUAAACGAUGGAUACUAGGUGUUGCACGUAUUAACCCGUGCAGUAUCGUAGCUAAGGCGUUAAGUNUCCGCCUGGAGUACGCUCGNAGAGAGAACNAAGUAGAGUCGACGNGNGAGAGNGCGACGACGACGACGAGGAGAG